rnacentral:misc_RNA from 1 species
GAUGAAGAACGCAGCGAAAUGCGAUACGUAGUGUGAAUUGCAGAAUUCAGUGAAUCAUCGAAUCUUUGAACGCACAUUGCACCUCUCGGUAUUCCGGGAGGUAUGCCUGUUCGAGCGUCAUUUGUACCCUCAAGCUCUGCUUGGUGUUGGGUGUUUGUUCCGCCUCUGUGUGUGAACUCGCCUCAAAACAAUUGGCAGCCUGCGUACUUGUUUCGGAGCGCAGCACAUUUUGCGAUCCAGAUCAACGUACAGCGGCAUCCAAGAAGCCUUAUUUAACGCUCUUGACCUCGGAUCAGGUAGGGAUACCCGCUGAACUUAAGCAUAUCAAUAAGCGGAGGA